rnacentral:lncRNA from 1 species
GAUCUAAAGUCAUAUUUAUUCACAUCAAAAUAAUCUGACUCUGAUACCAGUUGAAGAAAAUGUGCGGUAGUGCAGUACAUGCGAUUUUAAAAAUUUUAUGCAAUGGAUAUGAAUGAUUAAAUAAUUUAAUCUUAAUCACAUGCAUAAGAUCCAAUCUUAAAUUAUUAUAUCAUGAUCUAUGAUAUAAAAAAUAUGCACCUU